UGGGGAAUUUUGGACAAUGGGGGAAACCCUGAUCCAGCCAUCCCGCGUGUGCGAUGAAGGCCUUCGGGUUGUAAAGCACUUUUGGCAGGAAAGAAACGUCAUGGGUUAAUACCCCGUGAAACUGACGGUACCUGCAGAAUAAGCACCGGCUAACUACGUGCCAGCAGCCGCGGUAAUACGUAGGGUGCAAGCGUUAAUCGGAAUUACUGGGCGUAAAGCGUGCGCAGGCGGUUCGGAAAGAAAGAUGUGAAAUCCCAGAGCUCAACUUUGGAACUGCAUUUUUAACUACCGGGCUAGAGUGUAUCAGAGGGAGGUAGAAUUCCGCGUGUAGCAGAGAAAUGCGUAGAUAUGCGGAGGAACACCGAUGGCGGAGGCAGCCUCCUGGGAUAACACUGACGCUCAUGCACGAAAGCGUGGGGAGCAAACAGU
rnacentral:rRNA from 1 species